AAUGUACUCCCUCUGUCUCUAAAUUCUUGUUUUAAAUUUGUCUAGAUAAGAAUGUAUCUAGCCACGUUUUAGUAUUUAGAUACAUUCAUUUCUCGACAAACCUAAGACAAUAAUUUUUGGGAUGGAGGGAGUAUAUU
rfam:Hordeum vulgare subsp. vulgare, WGS project CAJW01000000 data, contig: morex_contig_138215